rnacentral:rRNA from 1 species
CCUAUGGGUGGCAGCAGUGGGGAAUUUUGCGCAAUGCUCGUAAGAGUGACGCAGCGACGCCGCGUGAAUGACGAAUGCCUUCUGGUCGUAAAGUUCUUUCGACAUGGAAGUAAAUGCCUAUAAGUAACUGUGUAUGUAUUUACGGUACCUGUAUAAGCAGCCCCGGCGAACUCCGUGACAGCAGCCGCGGUAAUACGGAGGGGCCGAGCGUUGUUCGGAGUGACUGGGCGUAAAGAGCACGUAGGCGGUGUUGUAAGUCAUUAGUCAAAGACUAGAGCUCAACUUUAGUAAGGCUAGUGAUACUAUAAUACUAGAGUAUCAGAGAGGAUUGCAGAAUUCCUGGUGUAGCGAUGAAAUGCGUAGAUAUCAGGAGGAAUACCGUUAGCGAAGGCGGUAAUCUGGAUGGAAACUGACGCUGAGGUGCGAAAGCGUGGGUAGCAAACAGGAUUAGAUACCCUAGUAGUC